CAGUAGCCGCGGUAAUGCGAAGGGUGCAAGCGUUAAUCGGAAUUACUGGGCGUAAAGCGUGCGUAGGCGGUGAGUUAAGUCUGCUGUGAAAUCCCCGGGCUCAACCUGGGAAUGGCAGUGGAUACUGGCUCGCUAGAGUGUGUCAGAGGAUGGUGGAAUUCCCGGUGUAGCGGUGAAAUGCGUAGAGAUCGGGAGGAACAUCAGUGGCGAAGGCGGCCAUCUGGGACAACACUGACGCUGAGGCACGAAAGCGUGGGGAGCAAACAGGAUUAGAUACCCCAGUAGUCCCUGUAUCUUAUAC
rnacentral:rRNA from 1 species